UACGUAGGGGGCAAGCGUUGUCCGGAUUUAUUGGGCGUAAAGAGCUCGUAGGCGGUUUGGCAAGUCGGGUGUGAAAACUCCGGGCUCAACUCGGAGACGCCACUCGAUACUGCCAUGACUCGAGUCCGGUAGGGGAGUGCGGAAUUCCUGGUGUAGCGGUGAAAUGCGCAGAUAUCAGGAGGAACACCGGUGGCGAAGGCGGCACUCUGGGCCGGUACUGACGCUGAGGCGCGAAAGCCAGGGGAGCAAACGGG
rnacentral:rRNA from 1 species